rnacentral:rRNA from 1 species
AUUGAACGCUGGCGGCAUGCCUUACACAUGCAAGUCGAACGGCAGCGGACCUUCGGGUGCCGGCGAGUGGCGAACGGGUGAGUAAUGCAUCGGAACGUGCCAUUGAGUGGGGGAUAACGUAGCGAAAGUUGCGCUAAUACCGCAUAUUCUGUGAGCAGGAAAGCAGGGGACCGCAAGGCCUUGCGCUCUUUGAGCGGCCGAUGUCAGAUUAGCUAGUUGGUGAGGUAACGGCUUACCAAGGCGACGAUCUGUAGCGGGUCUGAGAGGAUGAUCCGCCACACUGGAACUGAGACACGGUCCAGACUCCUACGGGAGGCAGCAGUGGGGAAUUUUGGACAAUGGGGGCAACCCUGAUCCAGCCAUGCCGCGUGAGUGAAGAAGGCCUCGGGUU